rnacentral:rRNA from 1 species
UACAGAGGUCUCAACCGUUGUUCGGAUUCAUUGGGCGUAAAGGGUGCGUAGGCGGUCGUGUAAGUCGGAUGUGAAAUCCCGGGGCUCAACCCCGGAACUGCAUUCGAUACUGCAUGGCUAGGGUACUGGAGAGGAAACUGGAAUUUACGGUGUAGCAGUGAAAUGCGUAGAUAUCGUAAGGAAGACCAGUGGCGAAGGCGAGUUUCUGGACAGUUACCGACGCUGAGGCACGAGGGCCAGGGGAGCAAACAGG